rnacentral:rRNA from 1 species
UACGUAGGGGGCAAGCGUUAUCCGGAAUCAUUGGGCGUAAAGAGCGUGUAGGCGGUCCGGUAAGUCGGCUGUGAAAGUCCAGGGCUCAACCCUGGGAUGCCGGUCGAUACUGCCGGACUAGAGUUCGGAAGAGGCGAGUGGAAUUCCCGGUGUAGCGGUGAAAUGCGCAGAUAUCGGGAGGAACACCUAUGGCGAAGGCAGCUCGCUGGGACGUUACUGACGCUGAGGUGCGAAAGCGUGGGGAGCAAACAGG